rnacentral:rRNA from 1 species
CUACGGGAGGCAGCAGUGGGGAAUCUUGGACAAUGGGCGCAAGCCUGAUCCAGCCAUGCCGCGUGAGUGACGAAGGCCUUAGGGUCGUAAAGCUCUUUCGCCAGGGAUGAUAAUGACAGUACCUGGUAAAGAAACCCCGGCUAACUCCGUGCCAGCAGCCGCGGUAAUACGGAGGGGGUUAGCGUUGUUCGGAAUUACUGGGCGUAAAGCGCACGUAGGCGGACUGGAAAGUUGGGGGUGAAAUCCCGGGGCUCAACCUCGGAACUGCCUCCAAAACUACUAGUCUAGAGUUCGAGAGAGGUGAGUGGAAUUCCGAGUGUAGAGGUGAAAUUCGUAGAUAUUCGGAGGAACACCAGUGGCGAAGGCGGCUCACUGGCUCGAUACUGACGCUGAGGUGCGAAAGUGUGGGGAGCAAACAGGAUUAGAUACCCUGGUAGUCCACACCGUAAACGAUGAAUGCCAGUCGUCGGCAAGCAUGCUUGUCGGUGACACACCUAACGGAUUAAGCAUUCCGCCUGGGGAGUACGGUCGCAAGAUUAAAACUCAAAGGAAUUGACGG